GAUGAACGCUGGCGGCGUGCCUAAUACAUGCAAGUCGAGCGAACGGACGAGAAGCUUGCUUCUCUGAUGUUAGCGGCGGACGGGUGAGUAACACGUGGAUAACCUACCUAUAAGACUGGGAUAACUUCGGGAAACCGGAGCUAAUACCGGAUAAUAUUUUGAACCGCAUGGUUCAAAAGUGAAAGACGGUCUUGCUGUCACUUAUAGAUGGAUCCGCGCUGCAUUAGCUAGUUGGUAAGGUAACGGCUUACCAAGGCAACGAUGCAUAGCCGACCUGAGAGGGUGAUCGGCCACACUGGAACUGAGACACGGUCCAGACUCCUACGGGAGGCAGCAGUAGGGAAUCUUCCGCAAUGGGCGAAAGCCUGACGGAGCAACGCCGCGUGAGUGAUGAAGGUCUUCGGAUCGUAAAACUCUGUUAUUAGGGAAGAACAUAUGUGUAAGUAACUGUGCACAUCUUGACGGUACCUAAUCAGAAAGCCACGGCUAACUACGUGCCAGCAGCCGCGGUAAUACGUAGGUGGCAAGCGUUAUCCGGAAUUAUUGGGCGUAAAGCGCGCGUAGGCGGUUUUUUAAGUCUGAUGUGAAAGCCCACGGCUCAACCGUGGAGGGUCAUUGGAAACUGGAAAACUUGAGUGCAGAAGAGGAAAGUGGAAUUCCAUGUGUAGCGGUGAAAUGCGCAGAGAUAUGGAGGAACACCAGUGGCGAAGGCGACUUUCUGGUCUGUAACUGACGCUGAUGUGCGAAAGCGUGGGGAUCAAACAGGAUUAGAUACCCUGGUAGUCCACGCCGUAAACGAUGAGUGCUAAGUGUUAGGGGGUUUCCGCCCCUUAGUGCUGCAGCUAACGCAUUAAGCACUCCGCCUGGGGAGUACGACCGCAAGGUUGAAACUCAAAGGAAUUGACGGGGACCCGCACAAGCGGUGGAGCAUGUGGUUUAAUUCGAAGCAACGCGAAGAACCUUACCAAAUCUUGACAUCCUUUGACAACUCUAGAGAUAGAGCCUUCCCCUUCGGGGGACAAAGUGGCAGGUGGUGCAUGGUUGUCGUCAGCUCGUGUCGUGAGAUGUUGGGUUAAGUCCCGCAACGAGCGCAGCCCUUAAGCUUAGUUGCCAUCAUUAAGUUGGGCACUCUAAGUUGACUGCCGGUGACAAACCGGAGGAAGGUGGGGAUGACGUCAAAUCAUCAUGCCCCUUAUGAUUUGGGCUACACACGUGCUACAAUGGACAAUACAAAGGGCAGCGAAACCGCGAGGUCAAGCAAAUCCCAUAAAGUUGUUCUCAGUUCGGAUUGUAGUCUGCAACUCGACUACAUGAAGCUGGAAUCGCUAGUAAUCGUAGAUCAGCAUGCUACGGUGAAUACGUUCCCGGGUCU
rnacentral:rRNA from 1 species